rnacentral:misc_RNA from 1 species
AAGUCGUAACAAGGUUUCCGUAGGUGAACCUGCGGAAGGAUCAUUAUUGAAUAAUCUUGAUGUAGUUGUAGCUGACCUCUUUACCGGGGGUAUGUGCACGCUCGUCAUCUUUAUAUCUCCACCUGUGCACCUCUUGUAGACCUGGAUAUAUGAAUACUUUCGAGGCAACUCGGUCGGGAGGACUGCUGUGCGUAAAUGCCGGCUUUCCUUGCAUUAUUCAGGCCUAUGUUUUUAUAUACUCCAAAGAAUGUAACAGAAUGUAUCAUUGGGCCUUGUGCCUAUAAACUAUAUACAACUUUCAGCAACGGAUCUCUUGGCUCUC